CUGACAGGAAUAAAGAUGAUGAGCUCAUUGUUAAAUAUCAGGUAAUAUAGAUAGGAGUAAAGGAGAUGAGUGUAUUGUUAGAGAUCAGGUAAUACUGACAGGAAUAAAGAGGAUGAGCUCAUUGUUAAAUAUCAGGUAAUAUAGAUAGGAGUAAAGGAGAUGAGUGUAUUGUUAGAGAUCAGGUAAUAUAGAUAGGAGUAAAGGAGAUGAGUGUAUUGUUAGAGAUCAGGUAAUACUGACAGGAAUAAAGAGGAUGAGCUCAUUGUUAAAUAUCAGGUAAUAUAGAUAGGAGUAAAGGAGAUGAGUGCAUUGUUAGAGAUCAGGUAAUAUAGAUAGGAGUAAAGGAGAUGAGUGUAUUGUUAGAGAUCAGGUAAUAUAGAUAGGAGUAAAGGAGAUGAGUGCAUUGUUAGAGAUCAGGUAAUAUAGAUAGGAGUAAAGGAGAUGAGUGUAUUGUUAGAGAUCAGGUAAUAUAGAUAGGAGUAAAGGAGAUGAGUGCAUUGUUAGAGAUCAGGUAAUACUGACAGGAAUAAAGAGGAUGAGCUCAUUGUUAAAUAUCAGGUAAUAUAGAUAGGAGUAAAGGAGAUGAGUGUAUUGUUAGAGAUCAGGUAAUAUAGAUAGGAGUAAAGGAGAUGAGUGUAUUGUUAGAGAUCAGGUAAUACUGACAGGAAUAAAGAGGAUGAGCUCAUUGUUAAAUAUCAGGUGAUAUAGAUA